UUUUGGAAAAAUUUGCAAAAUUAGGUUACAUACCGCACGGAUUUUACAAAGUUACCAAUGACCACGUGAAUUGCCUCAUUAUGUUUUAAGUUGAGAAUUAGUAGUAAGUGGAAUUAGUGCAAAUAAUUUUUAAGGGCUACUAUUUUCUUAAGCGAGCACUUUUUCAGGCAGCCUCGAAUUUUACAAGUUGGUUUUUAUACCAUGCUCAGUUUAUUCUUCAUGGUUAAUUUUCAAGGAGAGUUUUUUUACACGAGAAAGAAAAUUGCAGUUUCAGUUUCAAAAAGAGUUUGGAAAUACUUGACAGGAAUUUCAAAAAAGGAGGCGAGAUGAUUGGUGUCAUCCUUUGGUGGUUGGAGGACACAAUGUGUGACCAGCCGACGGUGGAAGAUCAGCAGCUGUGACGCUUUGUGUUAUUGGAUCAUAUUCUUUUCCUCGAUGGGCGGAUGUGGCUGAUUGGACACACAUCACGAAGCCAGGCAGAAAAGACGACCCAGGUCCCGGUGGACCCCGAUGAAAAUAAUUGGAUCGAGUCCGUCCCUGUUCUUGGCUAAUCAGUCAAAAUGUCACAAGUGUGCGGGACCGGAUCGCACGGAGCCAUCUCGCACAUGGCACAACGGACGGAAAAACACACUCCAAACGCCAAAAGUUACCAAGCAGCAACCUCUCCUCCGUCCGACCAAUGUAAUUGGUUCCACAAAAGAAGGGGAAGAAAAAUACAAGGAUCGCAAACUCACAAAACUAAUCAAACUCGAUUUUCUAUGGGGGGUUGUGCAGAAGAAAUGUCGAUAUUUGAGGGUACGCAGUGCUUAGUAACUUUGUAAAACGGGAAAGUUUUGUGAAAUGAGUGUGGAAACUUUUACAAAAUAAAGAUCGGAGUAAGUUUACAAAAUUUGGAAGUUAAUUUUCCUCAGAAAUAUGAGUAAACUUUCGAAAUAAUUUGUAAGUUUACGAAUUUUACAAAGUUACAAGGUCCUUGUGAAUUAAUCUACAUUUCAAUGUUUUCGAAAUCUUAAAUUAUAUACAUGCAUAUUUUAAAUAAUAUCGUGUAAAUGACGUCAAACGUUACGUAUUUUUCAAAAAGUUUGCAUUUUUCUGCCAGAUUUUUCAUCCAACUCGUUUCAAAUUUUUAAACGUGUCAAGUUUUACUGCAGAAAUAUUUAGGUAAUUCCCACAGAAAUGAAAUUUGUACCAAAUAAAAGCUGCACUAAAACCA